UGGGAUAACGUUACCGGGAAACCGGAGCUAAUACCGGAUAAUAUAUUGAACCGCAUGGUUCAAUGGUGAAAGACGGUUUUGCUGUCACUUAUAGAUGGAUCCGCGCCGCAUUAGCUAGUUGGUAAGGUAACGGCUUACCAAGGCAACGAUGCGUAGCCGACCUGAGAGGGUGAUCGGCCACACUGGAACUGAGACACGGUCCAGACUCCUACGGGAGGCAGCAGCC
rnacentral:rRNA from 1 species